CCAGUCAUUCCGUUGGCUGAGCCUAAUAUCAACUGCAUAACUGGCAACGGUUUUGUGGUAAGCUGAUAUGAAAAUGUAGCCCUUAAGGACAAACCGUGAGGAAUGUCCGUUACUGCUAGCAACAAAGCGGUUAGGG
rnacentral:ncRNA from 1 species